GCAAAACGCGAAGAACCUUACCCACCUUUGACAUGUACGGAAUCCUUUAGAGAUAGAGGAGUGCUCGAAAGAGAGCCGUAACACAGGUGCUGCAUGGCUGUCGUCAGCUCGUGUCGUGAGAUGUUGGGUUAAGUCCCACAACGAGCGCAACCCUUGCCAUUAGUUGCUACGAAAGGGCACUCUAAUGGGACUGCCGGUGACAAACCGGAGGAAGGUGGGGAUGACGUCAAGUCCUCAUGGCCCUUAUAGGUGGGGCUACACACGUCAUACAAUGGCUGGUACAGAGGGUUGCCAACCCGCGAGGGGGAGCUAAUCCCACAAAGCCAGUCGUAGUCCGGAUCGCAGUCUGCAACUCGACUGCGUGAAGUCGGAAUCGCUAGUAAUCGCGGAUCAGAAUGUCGCGGUGAAUACGUUCCCGGGUCUUGUACACACCG
rnacentral:rRNA from 1 species